rnacentral:rRNA from 1 species
UACGGAGGGGGCAAGCGUUGUUCGGAAUUACUGGGCGUAAAGGGCGCGCAGGCGGCUGCUCAGGUCAGGCGUGAAAGGCCUGGGCUCAACCCGGGAACUGCGUCCGAUACUGGAAGGCUUGAAUCCGGGAGAGGGAUGCGGAAUUCCAGGUGUAGCGGUGAAAUGCGUAGAUAUCUGGAGGAACACCGGUGGCGAAGGCGGCAUCCUGGACCGGCAUUGACGCUGAGGCGCGAAAGCCAGGGGAGCAAACGGG